GCGUAGCAUCAGCUAGUUGGUGGGGGUAAUGGCCUACCAAGGCGAAGAGCUUAGGCUGGUCUGAGAGGAUGAUCAGCCACACUGGGACUGAGACACGGCCCAGACUCCUACGGGAGGCAGCAGUGGGGGAAUAUUGGACAAUGGGCGCAAGCCUGAUCCAGCCACGCCGCGUGAGUGAUGAAGGCCUUCGGGUCGUAAAGCUCUGUGGGGAGGGACGAACGGCGCCAUGAAGAGUGGCGAUUGACGGUACCUCCUUAGCAAGCACCGGCUAACUUCGUGCCAGCAGCCGCGGUAAUACGAAGGGUGCAAACGUUGCUCGGAAUCAUUGGGCGUAAAGCGCACGUAGGCGGCUUUCUAAGUCGGAUGUGAAAUCCCUCGGCUUAACCGAGGACGUGCAUCCGAAACUGGGAGGCUUGAGUAUGGAAGAGGGUCGCAGAAUUCCCGGUGUAGAGGUGAAAUUCGUAGAUAUCGGGAGGAAUACCAGUGGCGAAGGC
rnacentral:rRNA from 1 species